rnacentral:tRNA from 1 species
CCUGGUGGCUCAGACGGUAAAGUGUCUGCCUACAAGGCAGGAGACCCAGGUUCGAUCCCUGGGUCAGGA